GACGAACCGUGCGAACGUUGUUCGGAAUCACUGGGCUUAAAGGGCGCGUAGGCGGGCGGCCGCGUCCGGGGUGAAAUGCCACGGCUCAACCGUGGAACGGCCUCGGAUACGGGCGGCCUCGAGGGGGGUAGGGGCAUCUGGAACUGUGAGUGGAGCGGUGAAAUGCGUUGAUAUUCACAGGAACUCCGGUGGCGAAGGCGAGGUGCUGGACCCCUUCUGACGCUGAGGCGCGAAAGCCAGGGGAGCGAACGGG
rnacentral:rRNA from 1 species